rnacentral:rRNA from 1 species
AGUGAACGCUGGCGGUAGGCCUAACACAUGCAAGUCGAACGGCAGCACAGUAAGAGCUUGCUCUUACGGGUGGCGAGUGGCGGACGGGUGAGGAAUACAUCGGAAUCUACUUUUUCGUGGGGGAUAACGUAGGGAAACUUACGCUAAUACCGCAUACGACCUACGGGUGAAAGCAGGGGAUCUUCGGACCUUGCGCGAUUGAAUGAGCCGAUGUCGGAUUAGCUAGUUGGCGGGGUAAAGGCCCAUCAAGGCGACGAUCCGUAGCUGGUCUGAGAGGAUGAUCAGCCACACUGGAACUGAGACACGGUCCAGACUCCUACGGGAGGCAGCAGUGGGGAAUAUUGGACAAUGGGCGCAAGCCUGAUCCAGCCAUACCGCGUGGGUGAAGAAGGCCUUCGGGCUGUAAAGCCCUUUUGUUGGGAAAGAAAAGCAGCAGGUUAAUACCCCGCUGUUCUGACGGUACCCAAAGAAUAAGCACCGGCUAACUUCGUG